CCAGACUCCUACGGGAGGCAGCAGUGGGGAAUAUUGCACAAUGGGGGAAACCCUGAUGCAGCAACGCCGCGUGAGUGAGGAAGUAUUUCGGUAUGUAAAGCUCUAUCAGCAGGGAAUAGAAAAGAAGGUACCUGAAAAAGAAGCCCCGGCUAACUACGUGCCAGCAGCCGCGGUAAUACGUAGGGGGCAAGCGUUAUCCGGAUUUACUGGGUGUAAAGGGGACGCAGACGGCAGCGCAAGCCAGGAGUGAAAGCCCGGGGCCCAACCCCGGGACUGCUCUUGGAACUGCGCGGCUGGAGUGCAGGAGGGGCAGGCGGAAUUCCUGGUGUAGCGGUGAAAUGCGUAGAUAUCAGGAGGAACACCGGUGGCGAAGGCGGCCUGCUGGACUGCGACUGACGUUGAGGCCCGAAAGCGUGGGGAGCAAACAGGAUUAGAUACCCCAAUAAU
rnacentral:rRNA from 1 species